rnacentral:rRNA from 1 species
AUUGAACGCUGGCGGCAGGCCUAACACAUGCAAGUCGAGCGGAUGAAGGGAGCUUGCUCCUGGAUUCAGCGGCGGACGGGUGAGUAAUGCCUAGGAAUCUGCCUGGUAGUGGGGGAUAACGUCCGGAAACGGGCGCUAAUACCGCAUACGUCCUGAGGGAGAAAGUGGGGGAUCUUCGGACCUCACGCUAUCAGAUGAGCCUAGGUCGGAUUAGCUAGUUGGUGGGGUAAGGCCUACCAAGGCGACGAUCCGUAACUGGUCUGAGAGGAUGAUCAGUCACACUGGAACUGAGACACGGUCCAGACUCCUACGGGAGGCAGCAGUGGGGAAUAUUGGACAAUGGGCGAAAGCCUGAUCCAGCCAUGCCGCGUGUGUGAAGAAGGUCUUCGGAUUGUAAAGCACUUUAAGUUGGGAGGAAGGGCAGUAAGUUAAUACCUUGCUGUUUUGGCGUUACCAACAGAAUAAGCACCGGCUAACUUCGUG